rnacentral:rRNA from 1 species
UACGUAUGAGGCUAGCGUUGUUCGGAAUUAUUGGGCGUAAAGGGCGUCUAGGCGGGGGAUUAAGUUAGGUGUGAAAGCCGUGGGCUCAACCCACGAACUGCACUUAAAACUGGUUCUCUUGAGUUCGGAAGAGGAGAGCGGAAUUCCCGGUGUAGCGGUGAAAUGCGUAGAUAUCGGGAAGAACACCAGUGGCGAAGGCGGCUCUCUGGUCUAGAACUGACGCUGAAGCGCGAAAGUGUGGGGAGCAAACAGG